CGGGGGGCAGCAGUGGGGAAUAUUGGACAAUGGGCGAAAGCCUGAUCCAGCCAUGCCGCGUGUGUGAAGAAGGUCUUCGGAUUGUAAAGCACUUUAAGUUGGGAGGAAGGGCAUUAGCCUAAUACGUUAGUGUUUUGACGUUACCGACAGAAUAAGCACCGGCUAACUUCGUGCCAGCAGCCGCGGUAAUACGAAGGGUGCAAGCGUUAAUCGGAAUUACUGGGCGUAAAGCGCGCGUAGGUGGUUUGUUAAGUUGGAUGUGAAAGCCCCGGGCUCAACCUGGGAACUGCAUCCAAAACUGGCAAGCUAGAGUAUGGCAGAGGGUGGUGGAAUUUCCUGUGUAGCGGUGAAAUGCGUAGAUAUAGGAAGGAACACCAGUGGCGAAGGCGACCACCUGGGCUAAUACUGACACUGAGGUGCGAAAGCGUGGGGAGCAAACAGGAUUAGAUACCCGAGU
rnacentral:rRNA from 1 species